UACGUAGGGAGCAAGCGUUAUCCGGAAUUAUUGGGUGUAAAGGGUGUGUAGACGGGAAAAUAAGUUAGUUGUGAAAUCCCUCGGCUCAACUGAGGAACUGCAACUAAAACUGUAAUUCUUGAGUGCAGGAGAGGAAAGUGGAAUUCCUAGUGUAGCGGUGAAAUGCGUAGAUAUUAGGAGGAACACCAGUGGCGAAGGCGGCUUACUGGACUGUAACUGACGUUGAGGCUCGAAAGCGUGGGGAGCAAACAGG
rnacentral:rRNA from 1 species